rnacentral:lncRNA from 1 species
UUUAAAACUUUUAUUUUUCCAUUUAAUAUUACCAUCAAUUUGUGAAAAAUUAGCAAAAUAAGAAGAUCGGAUUUUGAAUCCUUCAAAAAAAGUUCCCUCCCCAAUUUUGAUUUCCCCCCAAGAAAUUAAUUCUCACUCCCAUUAACCUAAAUUUUAGGUCCCCAAUUCAUCCAUCUCAACUUGAGUAGUAAGUACGUGUCCCCCAAUUCUCUCUCUCUCAUUGGAGCUUCACACCGGCUGCGAUCCACAACUUUCGGUGGUGUUUUUCCGACCAUAAUCCACAGCCAUGACUCCUGAGUAUGACUACCUAUUCAAGCUUUUGCUCAUUGGAGAUUCGGGUGUCGGAGAGUCUUGUCUGCUUUUGCGGUUUGCUGUAAGUGCCGUGGAUCCUAUAUAAAUUACGCUCUUCAAAACUAGAUAUUACUAUUUUAAGAUAUCAUUCUUAUUCGUAUGAGUUUAACUACGCUUUCCGUUUAAAGUUCAUGCUAAUUUAUGAGAUGAAGUGUAACACCUAAAUGGAGCACCUUUAGAAUAUUUUGAUGAUAGGGCAAGAUGGCAGUAGUAUUAAUUACGGAAGUGAAAAGGAGGUCCAUUAUCUGUUUCAAUUUUCUAUUAUCAUUGCUUCAAAAUAUAUGUAUGUUGAUGCAACAUGAUGUACGAACGUUCAGCGAACAGUUCACGAACUGUUUGGUGGGAAGUUCGUUUGUGUUCGUUCGUUUACUAAACGGACGAACGCGGACAAUAAAUUUUGUUUGUUUAGUUAAAUGAACAAACAUGAACAUAGGUCGCGUUUGUUCAUUUAUGUUCGCGAACGUUCGGUAACGUGUCCGUUUAUGUUCGAUAGUUCAUUAAUGUUUUUAGUUUUUAUUAUAUAUUUAAAUUCUUCAAAAUUCCGACAAAUAAAAUAUUUGAUAAGUAUUGUGUAUU